UAGGGUUUUCCAUAAAAAUAUAAUGAUCGUGAUAUUCCUAAGGAAUUCUAUUUCUAAAUGAUGCUUCAUCGUCAAUCUUGUCAUGACCGGGGUCAUUCAUAGGAUUUUCGGCUAGAAUCAGCUUCAAGUCAAGGCAAGGGAGGGAAUAGAGGGGUUGUCCCAAUGGUUUUCAGAAAUCAUGCAAGUCCAAUUAUUAUCUUGGUAUAUUUUAUUAUCUAAAACAAUAGGACGAAAUAUAUGAUCAAGGAGGUCGGUGCUAGGACUUGCCUUCAUCCACGUUUCCUAGGUUGACCAGGGUCUUGACAUCUCACUUCUGGAUCUUCGGCUUUUCAUCGGAGCCUGGUUAGGCUAACGUUCUACUCGUCUUCUUGACGACUCGCCCUUCGGCUUCAUACCUUCUGGAUCCUUGGCUUUCGGUCGGAUCUUAGUUGCGUCCUCAAAUCACGCAAGCAUGUCAACAAGCAAACAGUUCUAACAAUCAAUAUCUAGUUUAAG
rnacentral:lncRNA from 1 species